rnacentral:rRNA from 1 species
AGAGUUUGAUCCCUGGCUCAGGAUGAACGCUGGCGGCGUGCCUAACACAUGCAAGUCGAGCGGUAUAUAUCUGAACAAAUCUUCGGAAGAGUGACGGUAUAGAGAGCGGCGGACGGGUGAGUAACGCGUAGGCAACCUGCCCCAUACAGAGGGAUAGCCUCGGGAAACCGGGAUUAAAACCUCAUAAUGCGAAGGAUUCACAUGUUUCCUUCGCCAAAGAUUUAUCGGUAUGGGAUGGGCCUGCGUCUGAUUAGCUAGUUGGUGGGGUAACGGCCUACCAAGGCAACGAUCAGUAGCCGACCUGAGAGGGUAAUCGGCCACAUUGGAACUGAGACACGGUCCAAACUCCUACGGGAGGCAGCAGUGGGGAAUAUUGCACAAUGGGCGAAAGCCUGAUGCAGCAACGCCGCGUGAGCGAUGAAGGCCUUUGGGUCGUAAAGCUCUGUCCUUGGGGAAGAAAAAAAUGACGGUACCCUUGGAGGAAGCCCCGGCUAACUACGUGCCAGCAGCCGCGGUAAUACGUAGGGGGCAAGCGUUAUCCGGAAUUAUUGGGCGUAAAGAGUGCGUAGGUGGUUUUGUAAGCGCGAGGUGAAAGGCAAUAGCUCAACUAUUGUAAGCCUUGCGAACUGUGAGACUUGAGUGCAGGAGAGGAAAGUGGAAUUCCUAGUGUAGCGGUGAAAUGCGUAGAUAUUAGGAGGAACACCAGUGGCGAAGGCGACUUUCUGGACUGUUACUGACACUGAGGCACGAAAGCGUGGGGAGCAAACAGGAUUAGAUACCCUGGUAGUCCACGCCGUAAACGAUGAGCACUAGGUGUCGGGGCCGCAAGGUUUCGGUGCCGCAGUUAACGCAUUAAGUGCUCCGCCUGGGGAGUACGCACGCAAGUGUGAAACUCAAAGG